rnacentral:tRNA from 1 species
GUCAGCUUCCCAAGCUGAAUGUCGUCGGUUCGAUCCCGAUCGCCCGCUCCA